ncrna:unclassified sequences RAGATH-18 RNA
CUUGUGGACUGUUAUAUCAAAUGAAAGUAGACUUUAUAUUUUAAGGUGUAAAGACCAAAUCAGACAGGUAGAAGCAAGAA